rnacentral:lncRNA from 1 species
UCACCCAAAAUCAACCAAAAAUCAUCAUAAAAUCUUCCAGAACGUUCAGGAGAAGAAAAUACACUCCGAUAUCACGACGAAAGACUCAGAAAGGUCUCCGAUGAGUCGGAAUCUUCAUCGACCGUGAGGUCUCAGAAAUCACCCCCAAAACCUCGAAACAAACUUCAUCCAAGACAACGAAGCACAUAGAAACAUAGUCGGAUCGUCGUCGAGGCUCUGAUACCAUGAGAAGAAUGGACAUUGGGCCAAACUCAAUCCCAAAAGCUAGCUUAUGAGGUGAGGAUUGCCCAAGCCAUAUAAAGAGACCAAUGAUCUCAAAUCCCUCCGAUGUGGGACAACUCAAUAGCAUGAAAAGAAUGGACAUUGGGCCUAACUCAACCCCAAAAGCUAGCUUAUGAGGUGAGGAUAUCCCAAGCCAUAUAAAGAGACCAAGGACCUCAAAUCCCUC